rnacentral:rRNA from 1 species
AUGUCGGCUCAUCGCAUCCUGGGGCUGAAGUAGGUCCCAAGGGUUGGGCUGUUCGCCCAUUAAAGCGGUACGCGAGCUGGGUUCAGAACGUCGUGAGACAGUUCGGUCCCUAUCCGGCGCGGGCGUAGGAUAUUUGAGAGGAGCUGCCCUUAGUACGAGAGGACCGGGGUGGACUGGCCUCUGGUGUAUCUGUUGAACUAUCAAGUUCAUGGCAGAGUAGCCAAGCCGGGACGGGAUAAACGCUGAAGGCAUCUAAGCGUGAAGCCCCCCUCAAGAUGAGAUAUCCCAUACGCAAGUAGUAAGACCCCUUGAAGACGACGAGGUAGAUAGGGCAGAGGUGGAAGCGUAGUAAUACGUGAAGCUGACUGUUACUAAUCGGUCGAGGGCUUGACCUG